GAGGUGCGUUCGUGCCUGCCUUUCUUUGAGAAAGGGCUUUGAGAAAGCCCAAUUUAUAGUAAAUACGAAAUUGCUCAAAUGCAUUAGAAAUAAUUACUUUUAAAGAAGGCUUACUUUAAAGUUCAUCUCAAAAGCAAAAUUCUUUAGUUUACAUCUUCAGGUAAAAUUGUUUUGCUUUUGGGCAAAGUCUUUCAUACAACUUAUGAAGCAAGAGGCAAGUCAAGUACAAUCUUCAGAAAAAAUUGUCAGGUUCCUGUUACAAGUGAAAUCAUAUGGUACUUGUCUUUCACCACCUGGCUCAUUUAACUUAGCAUAAUACUCUCCAGUUCCAUCCAUGUUGUCACAAAAGAAAAAGUUUGUUUCCCUUCAGGCUCUCUGAAGAUAGCAGUAGAAACCAUUGUACUAAAGAGUAUCUCACAACUUUUGCUAUUCAACUAGAGUGUGGGCAGAAAGCCAAGGAACUUGUUCCUGCUGUGCGAAGGGUUUUUUUUAAUCCUCACCUGAGGACAUGCCCAUUGACUCUACAGAGAGAAAGGAAAGGAGAGAAAGAGAAAUAUUGAUCAGCUGCCUCCUGAUGCACCUCGACUGGGGUUUGAACCCGCAACCCAGACUUGACACAAUUGUGGAAACUCAACUCUGACAGGAUUGGCGUGUGAAGGAAAUUGACGAGGACAGAACAACUAAGAAACAAGGAGAAGAGGCGUGCCCAAGAAGGACAGUGCAGAGCUUCAAGGACAUGCCAGGAAUCAGCCUGCCGCACAGAGACAUCUCUGUAAAGAGUGACAGAACCAACUCCAUGCUGCCACCGAGGUGGGACAGCUCAAUUUGAAACAAACCAAGGCCGAUGCUGCAAUUCAACGUAUGAUGUUCAAGGAGAAACUUUGGAUAAGGACUCAAAAGACAGCUUUGCUGGUGUAACCAUGUUGCCAAAAAACUGUAUCUUUCACCCAGACUUUAUUAUUGAUAAUAAAUUUCUUUAUCACUGGCAAAAACAACCAAUCAGAAAUCACCAAGAGACCUUUUCUAGGUAGAUAGGGUUUUUAUACUGGGUGCUUUUACUAUUGUCAUUCUACUCAUAGACUUAGGAGAAAAAGGAAUCUGGGUAGUACUGAAGUUGAUGAGAAAAAAAUAAAAUAGUUGGGGUAAUGGACAAGGAAAAAAACCUAGUACAAAACUGUGAGCUGUUAUGAUGCAAGAAAAUGGCUGCAUGCAGAAGACAUGGGAAGUAGGCACUGCUUAAUAAAUACCACAGCUAGUUAGAGUGAAAGGCCACAUGUCCUGGAGUGCCAAUCCUCUUUACGAAGUGAAAAUUCCCUGGAGAGUUUGCCAAAAGCUAGAAUUUCACCUCAUUCAAAACUGCUUUCCUAACACAGAGAUCUUGAAAAGACACCUUCACCUGUCAUUCUUAGAAAUCAGGUUUUUUCCCCUUGCUGGACAUGCAUUAAUUGCUGAUGACAGCAGCGGACAUCUGACCACUGCACAAUCAUCACAUGUGUGUAAAUAUCUCCCAUUUCGUAUGUCAUCAUUAUCUCCCUGGUGGAUAUCCAUCACAUUUUAAAUUAUUCAGUGGCAACAGAUUUUGAACUAGUGUAAUCACAAUACCCAGUCUCAUAGUUAAGACAUGCUUAACAUGGAUUGCACUAGGUUACAUUUGACAGAGAUUGUCAGCAGGCCAGUCAAAAGAGAUGGGUUUUCCUCCACUCCCCAUCUUUCUCUGAAGGAAUCUAACAGACGAGCAUCAUUAAUUAAGCAGACAGUAAUUUCUAUCUUACACCAUUUCAUGUAAUAGAAUUAACAUGGUUUGGAAAACAAAAGUGAACUGGGUACAAAUACAGGCUCUUCCAUCAUGCACGCUGCCAUGAACAAUUUUGCACUUACUAUUAUUUAUCUUAAUGCAUGGUUUAUUUAUUUUGUUUUCUUCUUCCUCCUCUAAAAUAUAAACUCCCUAACAGUAGGGCUUUUUGACCAUAAAUGUACUUCAUAUGUAUUAUUACCUGAAUGAUACAAGAACUCACUCUCCAGAGAAUUUCCAGCUUGUUCCACCACUUGCAGAGACCAGUGGGAGCAUUAUGUUCGGAGGGGUAGAAAGAUGCACCCCAAAGAUACUGGUUAUAUGGCAUCUCACCAACAGCAUCAAGCACAAUGCCUGAAUUUAUAGAGCUUGUAUGAUAAGUACAUUUAUCAAAGUAAAAUUUAAAAUAUGUACUAACAUUUUAUGGUCUAUAAAUUUUAUAUCUUUAAGGAAAUACAUCCUGACCUAUGAUUGAAAAAUUAGCUGACCGACACCUCAAGUUCAACAAAUAUUUUAUCAAGUAAUCGAAAAGUUUUCUUUCCCCACAACUACUCUUUGGUUAUAAAUAUAGGCUUUAAUUUCCAAAUUGUAAUUCAUUUAAUAAAUUACACCACUGUUGCAUACUGGCACUCAGUGAAAUAAUGUUGCCUCAAAUCAACCAACAAGCCAAGAAUCUUCUUUGACUCAUGCAUUCUUUAUUUACUCAACAAAUUUUUAUGGAGUGCCUACUAUGUCUUCAGUGUGACUCUAAGAAAUUUUAAACAAAUAGUAUUAAACAAGACAGGAAAAAAUUCUGUUCCCAUAAAAUUCCUCCUCUCAAAUAUUUAUUUCUAGGAAGAUAAGAUUUAAAUACAUGUAACACAAAUAUAAAAAUAAAUGUGUAAUAAAACGGUAGGUCAUUAAUUGUUGUAAGAAACAAUUCAAGUUUAAUGAUAUCAACUGUCAUAUAGAUAUUCUCUUAGAUUGAGUGGUUAAGAAAGGUCUCUCUGAGGAGGAUACAUUUGUAAAAAUACCUGAAUGAAGGAGGCAUGGAAUCACAAGAGCACCUGAGGAAAGAACACUCCAUCAGAGAAAGCAGCUGAUGCAAAGGCUCUGCAGGGGAAAUGCAUGUUUUGCUUGAUCAGGGUGCUCAAGAGACAAUGGAAGAGGAAGUGGUGGAGAUAGAAGUUGGAUGAAAUUGGUUCCUAAAGGCUAUUGUAAGAACAAUGGGUUGUAUUCUAAAAACAAUGCAGAAGUAUUUAAGAGAUUUAUAUUUUUAAUAAUAAACAAAUAAAAUUUUAAUUAAGUCAAAUUGAAGAAAACUUGAGUUUUCAUUGUGUAAUGUGAAUUCAUAGCUCUAAGUGCAGAAUUUGGAAGUAGUAAAUGUGAGUGCAUACAAAGAAGAAUAAA